AUUGAACGCUGGCGGAAUGCUUUACACAUGCAAGUCGAGCGGCAGCGCGGGGCAACCUGGCGGCGAGCGGCGAACGGGUGAGUAAUGUAUCGGAACGUAUCCUUAAGUGGGGGACAACUAGUCGAAAGACUAGCUAAUACCGCAUACGAUCGAGAGAUGAAAGUGGGGGACCGCAAGGCCUCACGCUUUUGGAGCGGCCGAUAUCCGAUUAGCUUGUUGGUGAGGUAAAGGCUUACCAAGGCUAUGAUCGGUAGCUGGUCUGAGAGGAUGAUCAGCCACACUGGGACUGAGACACGGCCCAGACUCCUACGGGAGGCAGCAGUGGGGAAUUUUGGACAAUGGGGGCAACCCUGAUCCAGCCAUUCCGCGUGAGUGAAGAAGGCC
rnacentral:rRNA from 1 species